UCCCUAGUGGUCCAGUGGCUAAGACUCCACACUCCCAAUGCAGGGGACCCAAGUUCGAUCCCUGGCCAGGGAA
rnacentral:tRNA from 1 species